rnacentral:rRNA from 1 species
ACGCUCGACACCUACGGGGCAGCAGUCGGGAAUAUUGCGCAAUGGAGGAAACUCUGACGCAGUGACGCCGCGUAUAGGAAGAAGGUUUUCGGAUUGUAAACUAUUGUCGUUAGGGAAGAGAAAGGACAGUACCUAAGGAGGAAGCUCCGGCUAACUACGUGCCAGCAGCCGAGGUAAUCUGAGCGGGCUGGCAAGGC